UACAGAGGUCCCAAGCGUUGUUCGGAUUCACUGGGCGUAAAGGGUGCGUAGGCGGUCGGGUAAGUCUGAUGUGAAAUCUCACAGCUUAACUGUGAAACUGCAUUGGAUACUAUCCGGCUCGAGGAAUGGAGGGGAGACUGGAAUACUUGGCGUAGCAGUGAAAUGCGUAGAUAUCAAGUGGAACACCAGUGGCGAAGGCGAGUCUCUGGACAUUUCCUGACGCUGAGGCACGAAAGCCAGGGGAGCAAACGGG
rnacentral:rRNA from 1 species